rnacentral:rRNA from 1 species
CAAACGCACUAAGUGUGUCAGCCGCCGCGGUAAUACGUAGGGUGCAAGCGUUAUCCGGAAUUAUUGGGCGUAAAGGGCUCGUAGGCGGUUCGUCGCGUCCGGUGUGAAAGUCCAUCGCUUAACGGUGGAUCUGCGCCGGGUACGGGCGGGCUGGAGUGCGGUAGGGGAGACUGGAAUUCCCGGUGUAACGGUGGAAUGUGUAGAUAUCGGGAAGAACACCAAUGGCGAAGGCAGGUCUCUGGGCCGUUACUGACGCUGAGGAGCGAAAGCGUGGGGAGCGAACAGGAUUAGAUACCCGAGUAGUCCGGCGUUCCUCACGU